UGGGGAAUAUUGGACAAUGGGCGGAAGCCUGAUCCAGCAACGCCGCGUGAGGGAUGACGGCCUUCGGGUUGUAAACCUCUUUCAGUACCGACGAAGCGAAAGUGACGGUAGGUACAGAAGAAGGACCGGCCAACUACGUGCCAGCAGCCGCGGUAAUACGUAGGGUCCGAGCGUUGUCCGGAAUUAUUGGGCGUAAAGGGCUCGUAGGCGGUUUGUCGCGUCGGGAGUGAAAACAGCGGGCUUAACUCGUUGCUUGCUUUCGAUACGGGGCAGACUAGAGGUAUGCAGGGGAGAAUGGAAUUCCUGGUGUAGCGGUGAAAUGCGCAGAUAUCAGGAGGAACACCGGUGGCGAAGGCGGUUCUCUGGGCAUUACCUGACGCUGAGGAGCGAAAGUGUGGGGAGCGAACAGGAUUAGAUACCCUGGUAGUCCACACCGUAAACGUUGGGCGNUAGGUGUGGGGUCCUUUCCACGGAUUCCGUGCCGU
rnacentral:rRNA from 1 species